UUAAGUUCAGCGGGUAGUCCUACUCGAUUUGAGGUCAAGUUGUCAGUUGUUGUCCGAAGACGGUUUGAAGCACAGAGCUCCCGAUCGGCCACCCUCUUGCGAGGUGCCGGCGAAGAUACUUAUCACGCCGUACUAUGUCCAAGCAAGAGUUGCACUAAUGCAUUUGAGGUGAGCCACAGUAAAGCAGCAACACCCAAGUC
rnacentral:misc_RNA from 1 species